UGAAAGCAAAUCUGAGGUGGGACAUUUACAUUAGUGUAAGAGUACAGUUCUCCACAAAAGAGAAGACUGUAUUUGUGUUCUUCAUUGGAAACUUGGCAUCCACAGGGGGACAAGCAAAGUCAUCAAAAGGAAUACGGAUAUAUAUAUAGUACAUCGGCUAUGCCUACCACUGAAAGCUCAGGAUCCUCUGCAUGCCCAGUCCCAAAUGAAGCAGUUAGAUCUGUGGCUGCCUUGCCUAACACAGACUUGAGUCAGGCUGCACAUCACUGGUGGCUCAGAGGCCUCCAGGAGGAGGCUGAGCUCUCAAGAAUGCAAAGUACCUUCAGAUCUACUCGUCUGCAAUCUUAAUAGAGAUGAACACUUAUUUCUGAACUGUAGGCCAUUACCUAUUUGUACCAAAACAAUGCCUAUUCUUAACUUCUAAAAGAAAACAGAUGUCAGAGCAGGAUUGGUUUUGUUUUCAAAGUGUAACAGGGUAAGCUCUGUUCUCCUAAGAUCUGAAUCCAAGUUUUCAUAAAUGUAAAUACUGACAAUUAAACCUGUAAUACCAAAAUAAACCAGAGUUCAAAUAUGUUAAUUUUCCA
rnacentral:lncRNA from 1 species